rnacentral:rRNA from 1 species
AUACGUAGGGGGCGAGCGUUGUCCGGAAUUAUUGGGCGUAAAGGGUUCGCAGGCGGUCUGAUAAGUCAGAUGUGAAAGGCAAUGGCUCAACCAUUGUAAGCAUUUGAAACUGUCAGAUUUGAGUUAAGGAGAGGAAAGUGGAAUUCCUAGUGUAGCGGUGAAAUGCGUAGAUAUUAGGAGGAAUACCAGUGGCAAAGGCGACUUUCUGGACUUAUACUGACGCUGAGGAACGAAAGCGUGGGGAGCAAACAGGAUUAGAUGCCCUGGUAGUCCACGCCGUAAACGAUGAGUGCUAGGUGUUGGGGGUCAAACCUCGGUGCCGCAGCUAACGCAUUAAGCACUCCGCCUGGGGAGUACGUACGCAAGUAUGAAACUCAAAUGAAUUGACGGGG